CCAGACUCCUACGGGAGGCAGCAGUGGGGAAUAUUGCACAAUGGGGGGAAUCCUGAUGCAGCGACGCCGCGUGGGUGAAGGAGUAUUUCGGUAUGUAAAGCCCUAUCAGCAGGGAAGAACAAUGACGGUACCUGACUAAGAAGCACCGGCUAAAUACGUGCCAGCAGCCGCGGUAAUACGUAUGGUGCAAGCGUUAUCCGGAUUUACUGGGUGUAAAGGGAGCGCAGGCGGCGCGUUAAGCCUGGUGUGAAAGCCCGCGGCCCAACCGCGGGACUGCAUUGGGAACUGGCGCGCUGGAGUAUGGGAGGGGUAAGCGGAAUUCCUGGUGUAGCGGUGAAAUGCGUGGAUAUCAGGAGGAACACCGGUGGCGAAGGCGGCUUACUGGACCAUAACUGACGUUGAGGCUCGAAAGCGUGGGGAGCGAACAGGAUUAGAUACCCGCGUA
rnacentral:rRNA from 1 species